rnacentral:lncRNA from 1 species
UAGAUCAGCUUCAAUCAGCUGUGAUAAGGGAGGAAGGAAUCAAGGAUAUAAAUAAGGUCAUUUGCUAUUAUUACUCCGAUGUUGAUCUCCAAUUUUACUCUGAGUCCUAAAAGGACUUACAAUUAUAUCUCUGCAACAAAUCUUAUGUAUUCGUGACUCCUUUCUUUCCUUCUCAUCUUUUAGUCAUUGUUAUUAUUUAAUAUACAUAUAUAUAAAGUACUACCCUCAUUAUUAUUCUUAUAAAUAGCCUUCCAUUGUGUAUAUUUGUCAGAGUAGUAAUGAUUAUGUAUUAAUAAGAAUAUAUACGUGUUCCUAUCAAAUUUCAUCGUUGCCUCAGCGUCACUUCUCUCGGUCGUCCUGGAUUCCUUUAUUUAAUAGUUUGUGUCUCUUCAACCUCACCAAGACACAACAUUUAUAAGCCCAUAAUAGGAUAUACUUCAGAGGAUAUAAUAUAACUUAUAAGGGAUUAGGAUCCCAUACUUGUCGCAGAAAGAAAUGAGGAAGAGGUAAGAGGACAGUGUUUAUUGAAGAAGCACCAAGGUACAGCGUGUAUGUUAGAGGUGAAGCGUUAAAGUAAAGUAGCGCAACAAAGCAAAUGUAAACAAAAAAGUUGUAGGACAUAAAAUAAUUUAUUUUUUAAACGUUAGAUGUUGCUUUUCAUUUAACAUUUCAUUCAAACAGGUAAAGAGGAGUUGAUGAAGGAUGAAUUAGAAUAAAAACAUAAUAAGUGUACUGAAUACUAGUGACUAGAUAUAUUAUAUCUAGUCACUAGUAUUCAGUACAAAGUUAUAUUCCGAACCUCAAUCCACGUUGUAUUAUUCGCUUAUUUCUUUGCAUUAUUUAGUUUCAAUUAAAUUAUUACAACUUAUAUUAUUCAUCCAUCGUAUCCCUCUAGCGCCUGUAAAAGAGCUACAUUUGGUCCUUCUUCUUUAAAAAAAAAAAAGGGAUUUGUGGUACUUGUAGCGCCACUUUACUUUAACGCUUUAGUUAGAGAGAAAAUGAAUUACACGAUGUCGUAAAUACACAACAACAAACUACUUGAAAAAAUGAUCCGUUCAGUAUAUUUCAACGUCGAUUACUGGAGAUCAACAAGAAAUUGUAUUCCUGUCCCUUUGGAGAUGGAGCAUAAGUAUUUGUUUAUUUAUGAAAAAGAAUAAAAUAUUUAAAAGCCAUGACGAUCAAGCGAGAUGAGACAAUCGACAAUUGAUUACUAGAUGCAUUUUAUUUUUGGUUCGCUACGACAUUCACGUUAAGGGCUGACGUUAGCUCUACUCCAUCGAAGCUUUUUUAUAUUUAUAUUUAAUUCACAAUUUAACAAUAAAAAAGAAACAAACUA